AACGCUAGCUACAGGCUUAACACAUGCAAGUCGAGGGGCAGCAUGGUCUUAGCUUGCUAAGGCCGAUGGCGACCGGCGCACGGGUGAGUAACGCGUAUCCAACCUGCCUUACACUCUUGGACAGCCUUCUGAAAGGGAGAUUAAUACAAGAUGUUAUCAUGAGUAAGCAUUUUCGCAUGAUUAAAGGUUUACCGGUGUAAGAUGGGGAUGCGUUCCAUUAGAUAGUAGGCGGGGUAACGGCCCACCUAGUCUUCGAUGGGUAGGGGUUCUGAGAGGAAGGUCCCCCACAUUGGAACUGAGACACGGUCCAAACUCCUACGGGAGGCAGCAGUGAGGAAUAUUGGUCAAUGGACGAGAGUCUGAACCAGCCAAGUAGCGUGAAGGAUGAAGGUUCUAUGGAUUGUAAACUUCUUUUAUACGGGAAUAAACGGAUCCACGUGUGGAUUUUUGCAUGUACCGUAUGAAUAAGGAUCGGCUAACUCCGUGCCAGCAGCCGCGGUAAUACGGAGGAUCCGAGCGUUAUCCGGAUUUAUUGGGUUUAAAGGGAGCGUAGAUGGGUGUUUAAGUCAGUUGUGAAAGUUUGCGGCUCAACCGUAAAAUUGCAGUUGAUACUGGAUAUCUUGAGUGCAGUUGAGGCAGGCGGAAUUCGUGGUGUAGCGGUGAAAUGCUUAGAUAUCACGAAGAACUCCGAUUG
rnacentral:rRNA from 1 species